AGCAGUCGCCACGGUAAUACGUAGGGGGCGAGCGUUGUCCGAAGUUACUGGGCGUAAAGAGCGCGUAGGCUGGUCUUUAAGUGAGUGGUGAAAGGUUCGGGCUCAACCCGGACACUGCCUCUCAUACUGGGGACCUUGAGUGUGGGAGAGGCGAGUGGAAUGGUCGGUGUAGCGGUGAAAUGCGUAGAUAUCGAUCGGAACACCCAUGGCGAAGGCAGCUCGCUGGCCUAACACUGGCGCUGAGGCGCGAAAGCGUGGGGAGCAAACAGGAUUAGAUACCCCCGUAGUCCCUGUCUCUUAUAA
rnacentral:rRNA from 1 species